rnacentral:lncRNA from 1 species
AAAAUAUAUGUACAUCAGAAAUUGAGGUAAAAGUUAAUAAGAGGAAGAUACGUUUACUUUAUUAAAGUCGUCGAAUAGAAUCUAAUUUAAAGUAGAUUUUGCAAAGAAACAUUUCUUUUUAAAAAUGGAAAAAGGGAUAUUCUCUUCUCAUUCCUUUUUACCUAUUUUUCUUUGUUUAUUUCUCCUUACUUUUCAGGUCAUCGAGGAGAAUGUUCUCUAGACAUAUAAGAGUUUGGUUAGGGAGAAAAGGCAAGCUUUAGGGUUUGGUUGGUGAGAUUGUUUGGGGGGGGGGGGGGGAGGGGUAAAAGGAGAGAAGGUUAAAGGGGUGUUUGGAAAUUGAAAUUGAUUUGAAUCAAGCAAAGCCAAUUGGUUUCAGGAGAUAUCUCACAGGAAAAAGGUGGUCCCAAAUUCUUGUUUCCUUUCAUUUCUUCCAAGAAGGCCUCUUGCUUUAUUUGGUCAAAAUGUUGACCUGCAUUGAUUGUAUAUAAUGUUAUUCCCUAGUAACCAACUAGAGCAAGAGAUGAUAUAGCAUAUAGGCACUGUGGAACUACAGCCCAAGUAGAAGGAAGAGAAGAAGUGUAUGUAUAGUAUAUUAUGGUCCAUCAACCCAACAUUUUCCUUUCUAGUGUCGUCAGACUCCCCUAGUCCCUAAAGCUAUACAACAUCAUGAUUGUGUAUCAUGAUAUCUAUUCUUCUUCUUGUGUACCCUAAGAUAACAUUAACUUCCUAUUUUAUCCAUACAUCCCUUGAAAUUGAUGAAACCCCACACAUAUUAACACUCACCCCCGUCGUCCUAUUUUUUAAACCCUCCUUACUCCUAACUUCUCAUUUUGCUUACUCAAUAACUCGAAUCCAUAACCUUGAAAGUAGAAAGUAUUUACCGCUUGAAUUACUCUUUUCUUGUUUACCCCUCGUCUUGGCCUAACCUUAUAAUCUUAUUGGCCGAUUAAGAACAAACGAAGUAUAUAUCCAUGAAAAAAAUCGAAUGACAUCUCUUCUUCCAACUGGGAAAAUGAGCAGAAGAAAAUAAUCUUAUAAAUAUAUCUUGUGUUUUAUUUAUGUAUUAUAAUAGACAAAUUCAAUAUACACCCCCGACUCAAUUCCAUAUAUAUUAACAUCAUUUGAUUGGCCUUCUCCAACGAAGAUAAUUAUUCUGCAUACAAAUGCAAUAUAUAUUGAAUUGGGUAAUUUUCAUUUUUGCUUAUGAGAUGAUCAACUAGAGCUGUAGAAUUGAGAAUUAAAUAUAUAUAUCUGCCGGUACUGAAAGAGACAGUGGAGAAAAUUUCAAAUAGAAAAUUGACAUAAUCUUAAGAAAAGUUAAUAUAUAGUUGAGAGCUCCACAGUUAGUAAUAUAAGCAAGUUAGUACAUUAGAGAAGAGCCUGAAGCGUGCGUAUGUAAAUGAUGUAAAAACGCAUCCGCUAUUCUUCGUUUCUCUUUUACACACAUGCAGAUAGUUGUAGAUAAACAUACAAAUUAAAACCGGAAGAUAUUAUAAAAACAUUUUAAUUUGUUACUUAGUUAGAGCUAACUAAAUCUCAAAUAAUUGUCAUAGAAUGUCGCAUAAAUUAUUGCCAUCUCAAUGGACAAAUAUGGAAGAGAAAAAAAAAAGAAACUCGUCUAAUGAAACAGUACGAGCAAAGGGGUUUCUUUGUCUUCCUUUUUGUUUUGAAUGUGUGAGAGAGUAGGGAAAACUAAAGGGGUUGUAACUUAAGGCACUGAAGAAAGUGAUAGAAAAGACAGGAAUACAGAGAGAUAAUUGGGCAAGACAUAGGUUGUAACUUUCAUGAUUGUCAUUAUGUGUAUGUUUUCGAUGCUUUAUGGGAAUAUGUACAAAUUAAUUGUUGAGAACAUACACAAACAUAUAUACAACACAAAAUAAAACACAUACAACAGAUCCAGAAAGUGCUCAGCCAUGAGCUUCCCUUCUUGUAGCACGUGAACGUAUCAGGCCCCCAAAUGGCCCUUACAACAACUCACAACAAAUUAAACUCCUCAAGAUAACUAAUGAAUGAAAACCCCAAUUUAGCUAAGAAUAAAUAUGUUAUCACAAAUAUAUAUGUAUAAACUUAAAUCUUUCUUGAUGACAUUAUUACUUCCAAAUGUAUGUUACUUACCAUUUUAAAUGUUCAGAUGCAAAUUAACUAUAUAUCUUAAUGGGUAGUUAUCGUUUCAACUAGGCAACAAGAAGAUUGACAAAAGAAACUAUACAACACGGAGAAAAUCAAAAGAAAAUACGGAAAAGGAAAGCAUAAAGCAACUUAAGAAACCCUAGGAAAUCGACACAUAAAAUGUACAAGUACAAGCUUAAAUAGUACCUGUUGGAAUUGAAGUGUGUAGAUAAAGUUAAGUACCCUUUCCAAUGCUUCACCUUCAAUAUCUUACCCACAAAAAGCCAGCUCUUUCUCAACAAAAAGAGAAAGAAGAAACAAAACAGAUGUUAGAAUUAGGUAGUUAGAUUACCAUAUAUAUAUAUAUAUAUCGGGGAUAUGCUUGGCUCCUCAUACGCCAUUCACGGGGACCCAACGGUAUUCCGAUGAGCUCUGCAAAUGGCAUACAGGGAGCCAGGCAUAUGCAGAUCACAUGUAUGUAACCUACAUAUAACAUAGAACUUACGUUUAAACUUCUUAUAUAACUGGUAGUAACUUGUAAAACAGCCCGAAUAAUUAUCUAAGUAAAAGAAAGAAAGCAUGGCUGAACUGAAAAAUUAUCUGCCCGUGAUCAUUGUCAACAAGAAUCAACAAGAUAUCCAAAGAAUUUUAGCUAAGAAGUAAGAAAAAGGAAAUAGAGAUUGAGAUACAAAGAAGAUCGAGGCAAGCUAAGAUGGUUUAUAUUUUAGGAGAGAAAAGAGAGAUUUGGGUUGAUCAAACUGGGGUCCUAAUCAGCUGGAUCUUUUAGCCCCACCGGCAAAACAUAUUUACACGACCAUAAGACCAAAAGCUAUGGAUGUUUCUUCUAUAUACUCUCUUUCUGUUUUCAUAAAUUAAUUCAUUCAAGUAGAAGGAUAGACAACGAUAGGAAUGAUGAAAACAAGCUGUUUAUAAGCACAAAACAGCAAAAUAAUCAAACAGAAAAAGAAGGGCUGUGAAGAAAUCAAGAAAGAAGUGUUCUUGUUGUUCUUAAUUUGUAGGGUUGCCCUUUUUCUUUUCUUCGAAAGACAAAAAGCAAAGAAGUUUUUCUGGGGUUGGUUUUGCAUCCAAGUCUACUUUACCAUCUCCUUACAACACAUAUAAAGGCAGAAUUGGAGGUGUUCUUUUGGAGGGGUAGGGGUGGGGUUGGGGGGUGGGAAGAAUGGGGUUCAUGUUGCUAACCACGCAAUUUCCUAAGCUUCAAAUCUUUACUCUUUACUCUCUCUCACUUGCUUUUUUCUGGGUCGUAAAAGCUACGGUUGCUUUUCUCCUCUGAAACUCC